rnacentral:lncRNA from 1 species
UGGUCUCAAGUGCGCACUCACCACUCUCCACUUAUACCACUAAGCCAAACACCACUUUAGUUCUCAUUCCUUCCCUCUCUAGUAUCUUUUAGUUUUUUAUAUUUUUAUUCUUUUCUGCAUUAUGAACCUUUGUUAUUGUUCUUUGUGUUGUUUGAAGUCUACUCUAUCCUACAACAGAAUAUAUUCUUGUCCUUCCAAUUGAAUUUCCACCACUCAAUUUAUUAUACAAAAAUGCUACCUACCUAACAUCAAUUGUGUAGUAUUAUAGUAAAAUG